rnacentral:rRNA from 1 species
CAUAAGAUUGUAGUACCGCAUGGUACAGCAAUUAAAGGAGCAAUCCGCUAUGAGAUGGGCCCGCGGCGCAUUAGCUAGUUGGUGAGGCAACGGCUCACCAAGGCGACGAUGCGUAGCCGACCUGAGAGGGUGAUCGGCCACAUUGGGACUGAGACACGGCCCAGACUCCUACGGGAGGCAGCAGUGGGGAAUAUUGCACAAUGGGGGAAACCCUGAUGCAGCAACGCCGCGUGAGUGAUGACGGCCUUCGGGUUGUAAAGCUCUGUCUUCAGGGACGAUAAUGACGGUACCUGAGGAGGAAGCCACGGCUAACUACGUGCCAGCAGCCGCGGUAAUACGUAGGUGGCGAGCGUUGUCCGGAUUUACUGGGCGUAAAGGGAGCGUAGGCGGAUUUUUAAGUGAGAUGUGAAAUACUCGGGCUUAACCUGAGUGCUGCAUUUCAAACUGGAAGUCUAGAGUGCAGGAGAGGAGA